UAUGUAUCAAGAAAGGAUUGAGGGUUCUGGCCCGUCGAUAUCCUACCAACCUGCAUUGCAAGGUGGUUCAUCCAGCCCCUCGGGGAAAGAUACGCU
rnacentral:ncRNA from 2 species